rnacentral:rRNA from 1 species
ACGAACGCUGGCGGCAGGCCUAAUACAUGCAAGUCGAACGCCCCGCAAGGGGAGUGGCGCACGGGUGAGUAACGCGUGGGGAUGUGCCCUUGGGUACGGAACAACAUCGGGAAACUGGUGCUAAUACCGUAUAAUAUCUUCGGAUCAAAGAUUUAUCGCCCAAGGAUCAACCCGCGUUGGAUUAGCUAGUUGGUGAGGUAAUGGCUCACCAAGGCUUCGAUCCAUAGCUGGUCUUAGAGGAUGAUCAGCCACACUGGAACUGAGACACGGUCCAGACUCCUACGGGAGGCAGCAGUAAGGAAUAUUGGACAAUGGGCGAAAGCCUGAUCCAGCCAUGCCGCGUGAAUGAAGAAGGCCUUAGGGUUGUAAAGUUCUUUUAGGGGUGACGAUAAUGACGGUAGCCCCAGAAAAAGCUCCGGCUAACUCCGU